AUUACUUUGGCAGAUAAAGUGUAAUGAAUUUAGAAUUCAUAUAUGUNAAUAUAAAUUUACAAGUAAUA
rnacentral:tRNA from 1 species